CUCCCUUGAUUGAAGUCCAUAUAUCAGCUACAGCAUUAUGCCAAUUGUGUUUUCCCCUAAGACCAUUGUGAGCAGGGACAGACCCAACAUGGGGUCAAGGGGCCCCAAGAUUUUUAAAAGAUUUUAAAAAAUUUUAAGGUUAUAAUGGUUUUUUUGUGUUCCAAAAUAAAAUAAAAUAAAUUAUAAAAAAAUAAAAUGGCAACCAGAGCACCAUACUCAAUUUAA
rnacentral:misc_RNA from 1 species